CGGUAUUUAAAAAAAAAAAAAAAAAUCCUUCCCUGCGCAAUUCAAAUGCAGGACGUUGCCCAUUAUCCUAUAGGCUAUAUAAACCGUUGUCCACAAGGUGAUGGCACUUACAACAUGUCUUAAGGUCCACGCGCAAAAUGCUACAACACAGUCCCCUGCCAUGAAUGCUACGACCAAAGCUGGCGGUGCGAGUUCCAACAUGACCAAGAUGCCCGAUGUCACCAAGAACAACAACAUUCCCAAAGGAGCCAGUGCACCCUUGCAGUCCAACUCGGUUGCGCUCAUCAUACCCAUCAUGGUGGGGGGCUCACUACAGGGGCGCUUCUAGAGGGCUGUUCAGUGAACAGACACUGGCAAGACUUUAACAUCAGCGGCCGAGAUGGGGCAAACUUUUUUUACUAAGAGCAUAUUUUGUAUAUACUUUUCAGAAAGGCAGUCAUGUGCGCUCCUUUCUACUUCACUGAUGGGAAUUGUUAUUUGCCCUCACACUUUCAAACCAGUAGGCCUUCAUACCUCUCACACUGGCCCCAUGCCCAUAGGCCGAAUGGUUCGGUCCUCUCCAUUGAGGCAGUCCAUGAUGAGGAUGCACUCUGCUCUUUGAACCGUUUGGUCCCGCUGUUCCUGUGUAAACACCAGGGGGUAGUUUAGUAAUUUGUUAAGAAGUUAAAAUAUCUAAAGAAAUGUUGGGUGAGGCACUUUGAAAAUAAGGUAUAGAAUCUGUGGCACAUGCACGGACAGUGGCAUUUCUGCACCUGCAGUGAGUACUUUGUCAGAGGCUUGAUGUACACUUGUGAUUUAUUUCUAGAAUAUGGAAUUGUACGGGUUAGCAUGUGAGAUUUAAUUGUAUAAAUAAUGUGAUAUGCUCAUUUGUUUAAGGCCAGGUUCAAUAAACCUUUGAAAUGUAGGAUACUUGUGACAAUUUUCUUGUAUAAUAAAAAUACUUUAACAUAAUGUUUCUCCUCCUGUCUCUAAAUUCUAAAGCUUGACCUGCCAAGUAAUUUGCUCUGUUCCACUUGUGUCCAGCCCCUUUAUUGAUCACAUAGCUAAGCCCAGGGAUUUCCUUAAGUUAGACUAGGUUUGAUGUGCCACAAAUUAAAUCCUUAUUUUAGUAUGGGGUAUAGGAAUGUUCACCUUUGGCCAGUUGUAUCAUUUAUGCCAUGUCAACUAGGACAUGACUUGUCUUUCAUUCCUUGUGGCCAAAACAGUUCAGUUUCCUGACCGUUAGACUCGCUGGCUGCUUUAAUUAGUUUACUUUACCCUAGCUACGUUGGCCUGUGACCAGUAAUUUACUAACUGGCCUACAAAGAUGUUCAGGGAAAGGCUGGCUGUAAAGUAUAUUUGAACUAACACUAGUUUCUUGACACUGGGUCUUGCUGGUUGGCUCUCAACCAAAGGGAUGCUUAACUUUUUAGACUGAUCAUCCCAUAAGUCUAAGCCAGGGGUUUCUAAGCUAUAUUGUGUGGUUUAUAAGGUCAUACCAAGGAUAUUUUUCCUAUUUCACAACUCCCUUGACUCAAUGUUUAGCCCAUAGUUUGUUUUGUCUGUCCUAGCUAGAUCUGAGAUCAGGAUACUUUUCUGGCACUAUGUCUAUUCAACUGAUACUGUGGGACCUUCAAGCAAUGUUUGAGUCUGACCUUUCCAGAGGAGUUGUAGUGUAGACUGAAUGCUACAGACUCCGAGGCUGUUCAGAUGAGUCCCAAGAUGGUUGUAGAGAAAAUGAAUGUGUUUGCUAGUGAAGUGAGUAGACUGGUUUUGGGAUGUCUCAUGGUCUUACUAACACACCUUACACACAGGCAGAUGCAGUGGAUUGAGAUGCAUCCAAUGCAAAAAAAACCCCUCUUAAACUGAGUUUGGGAAUUUAAUACUAAUUAACCUUAGGGGGUUUGAAACAAUUCUGUCGAUUGGUAAUUUUCAAUUUUUUGGGGUAC
rnacentral:lncRNA from 13 species